rnacentral:misc_RNA from 1 species
AAAUAUGUUUCCAGCAAAGAGGUAUAUAUGUGCUUCAUUUUUGAAUUUCUAAUAAUGUAGAAUUUAGAAAUAUACAUGGGAAAAGUACUUUGUGUUACUAUUAGGAUCUAUUCAAAUAAACGAGUAUCUGAAGUAAAUGGAUACUUGAAUUUAAUAUUAUUUUUAAUUUAUUUUAUAAAUUUUCAGUUACAAUAUAAUUCAUAUUCAUUUUAAAU